UUUGCCCAGCCCUGGAGCCCCUCUAAGAACACUGUUGGGCAGCAUCAGAGGGUUGGAGGUAGUGUUGGGAGAGGCGCCUUCCUUUUUCAGGUUUUCCUGGCUGGUCUGUCAGUCUAUUGUGUUUUCUCUCUACCCACUACCAGUAAAGAACCAGCAUCUGGCUAAACCAGGCUGUGCUCCUGCUAUGGAGGACCUGCUCCUAGCCCAGACAGCAGUGACUUCCUGGACAUAUGGCCCCACACAGCAGCCGCAUCACUGCAGCCUCAGCUUCCGUCCUUGCGUCCCUCUGAUUUCUUACCACCUCCUUCCCUUUUUCCUGGUGCCACUCAGAUGGUCCAGCAUAAUCUUUGUAUUUGAAGAUCCUUAACUUUAUCACACUGAAAAGUUCCUAUUGUGCGAGAUGGCAGGUGCCCAGGCCCUGGGGACCAGGAUGUAGACAUCUUCAGAGACCAUGAUUGCCGGUCACCAUGGUACAUCUCACAAAUCACCAAGACUCAAAUGGAAACAAAGUCUUUGUAAAUAGGGGAGGGUAGGCAGGGAUAUGGGAAAAAAAUGAGAACUGAGAUCUGUCAUGUAAAGGUAUGAGAUCCCAAUGGUGAAUGUAACUAUACUGUAUGCAUAAAAAGCACCAAUAAACUUAAUGAAAUUAAAAAACAAAUCACCAAG
rnacentral:lncRNA from 1 species